AACUGCGUAGCUCAGUUGGCAGAGCAUUGGGCUAGCAUUCCAAAGGUCGUAGGUUCGAUUCCCACCGUGGUCA
rnacentral:tRNA from 1 species